AGCAGGUAAAGGGUAGAUUUGGAGGCAGGAGCAGGUAAAGGGUAGAUAUGGAGGCAGGAGCAGGUUAAGGGUAGAUAUGGAGUUAGGAGGCAGGAGCAGGUAAAGGGUAGAUAUGGAGGUAGGAGCAGGUAAAGGGUAGAUAAUGAGGCAGGAGGCAGGUUAAGGGUAGAUAUGGAGUUAGGAGGCAGGAGCAGGUAAAGGGUAGAUAUGGAGGUAGGAGCAGGUAAAGGGUAGAUAAUGAGGCAGGAGGCAGGUGAAGGGUAGAUAUGGAGGCAGGAGCAGAUACAGGGUAGAUAUAGAGGCAGGAGCAGAUAAUGGGUAGAUAUGGAGGCAGGAGCAGAUAAAGGGUAGAUAUGGAGGCAGGAGCAGGUAAAGGGUAGAUAUGGAGUUAGGAGGCAGGAGCAGGUAAAGGGUAGAUAUGUAGUUAGAAGGCAGGUUAAGGGUAGAUAUGGAGUUAGGAGACAGGAGCAGGUAAAGGGUAGAUAUGAAGGCAGGAGCAGGUAAAGGGUAGAUAUGGAGGCAGGAGCAGGUAAAGGGUAGAUAUGGAGGCAGGAGCAGGUUAAGGGUAGAAAUGGAGUUUUGAGGCAG
rnacentral:lncRNA from 1 species